rnacentral:rRNA from 1 species
UACGAAGGGGGCUAGCGUUGCUCGGAAUUACUGGGCGUAAAGGGAGCGUAGGCGGACUGUUAAGUUAGAGGUGAAAGCCCAGGGCUCAACCUUGGAAUUGCCUUUGAUACUGGCAGUCUUGAGUACGGAAGAGGUAUGUGGAACUCCGAGUGUAGAGGUGAAAUUCGUAGAUAUUCGCAAGAACACCAGUGGCGAAGGCGGCUCACUGGCCCGAUACUGACGCUGAGGCACGAAAGCGUGGGGAGCAAACAGG